rnacentral:rRNA from 1 species
AGUGAACGCUGGCGGUAGGCCUAACACAUGCAAGUCGAACGGCAGCACAGUAAGAGCUUGCUCUUACGUGUUGCGUGUGGCUGACGGGUGUGGAAUACAUCGGAAUCUACUUUUUCGUGGGUGAUAACGUAGUGAAACUUACGCUAAUACCUCAUACUACCUACGGGUGAAAGCAGGGGAUCUUCGCACCUUGCGCGCUUGUAUGAGCCGAUGUCGGAUUAUCUAGUUGGCGGGGUAAAGGCCCACCAAGGCGACGAUCCGUAGCUGGUCUGAGAGGAUGAACAGACACACUGGAACUGAGACACGGUACAGACUACUACGGGAGGCAGCAGUGGGGAAUAUUGGACAAUGGGCGCAAGCCUGAUCCAGCCAUACCGCGUGGGUGAAGAAGGCCUUCGGGUUGUAAAGCACUUUUGUUGGGAAAGAAAAGAAGAAGGUUAAUACCACGCUGUUAUGACGGUACCCAAAGAAUAAGCACCGGCUAACUUCGUG